rnacentral:rRNA from 1 species
ACGGGAGGCAGCAGUGAGGAAUAUUGGUCAAUGGGCGGAAGCCUGAACUAGCCAAGUCGCGUGAAGGAUGAAGGUAUUAUGUAUUGUAAACUUCUUUAGACGCAGAGAAAUAAGGGGAUCGUGAUCCCUGAUGCUAGUAUGCGUAGAAUAAGGAUCGGCUAACUCCGUGCCAGCAGCCGCGGUAAUACGGAGGAUCCGAGCGUUAUCCGGAUUUAUUGGGUUUAAAGGGUGCGCAGGCGGCUUUUUAAGUCAGUGGUCAAAUCGUGGAGCUUAACUCCAUCCCGCCAUUGAUACUGGAGAGCUUGAUUGCGGUUGAGGUUGGCGGAAUUCGCCGUGUAGCGGUGAAAUGCAUAGAUAUGGCGAAGAACUCCGAUUGCGUAGGCAGCAGACCAGGCCGUAAAUGACGCUCAUGCACGAAAGUGCGGGGAUCGAACAGGAUUAGAUACCCUGGUA